UUGACCAAUCAAGCUCUGCUUGGCCUUGGGGCAUGCUAUACCAGCGGCCCUUAAAAUCAGUGGCGGUGCCGUUUAGCUCUAAGCGCAGUAAUUUUUCUCGCUAUAGUGUUAGGUGUCCACCCGCUAGAACCCCCAACUCCUCAAGGG
rnacentral:misc_RNA from 1 species